UAACUUCACAGAAGCGAAGUGAGGUUCGAGGGAGAGAGAAAGGCGCAGAGAGAGGAUGCGUCGCGUGCCUGCUUCGACGAUGAAGUUGACGACACUCGACAACAGAGCCAUGCGACGCCGGAGAAGACAGCAGCAUGUCACUCAUACGUUCUUGCGAAUUUUCUAAUCAUUUGCUGCUGCUGGUGGAUUAAUCUACCUGCAGACCAAUGAGUAGCCGGCCUAAAUUAAUUGUUUGAAGCUCUGGUCAAGCUGUAGUGAAAGUGGCAACGAGUGUUUCUGUGAAAUCUCGUGAGCUUUUGUGAAUGUGUGAAAGUGACCCCAGACCAGACUGCAAGAUCUUGCAACGUAAUGGCCUUCCUGAAAUUUUGUCCAACCCCAGCCAGCGCAGUUUGACAACCUUCGGCCCAAUAACCGCCUCGACCCUAGAAGAAAGGAUCCUAGAACGGCUUCUUGGCCCUUACUGAAAAUAUUCAGCUUAAUCAUGACCGGUUUGCAAAUGUUUAACUCAACUAAAGCUUACGGAGCCAUGCUGCGCUGGAGAAGUUUGAAGCUCUCUCUGGUCAAGUUUGGGGCCAAUGAUUUCGCAAUAACUAAGCAAAUAUCAAGUAUGAUUUUUGUUUCAGAGCCCCUGAUGGGUUAACUGUGGUAUCAGCUUCGAUUUUCAGAGGUAUUCCGACCAACAAGCACUGACAAAGCAAGAACCUCCCCUCUGGAUGGCCUAUUUUAAGCGCAAUAACCGCCUCAAGUGCUGUUUUUACUCGAGGUUUUGCUACUUCGGUCUUUUAACUGAAAUGCAUCAAUCCGAAAUAUUAGUAUCUGCCCGCCAAUCCCUUUGGUUAAUGAUGCAUGUAAGCAUGAUGGUAUUGAACUGUGCAGCUCUUUUGUGUGGAUCAUUAUUAUCAUUAGCUCUUCUAGUCAUUACAUUUCAAAAAUUCAGAAGGAUUUUUAGUAAAGGCAAUAAUUGUCGCAUAAGAUUUCUCCCA